UUUAGAGAAGUAAAAGUCGUAACAAGGUUUCCGUAGGUGAACCUGCGGAAGGAUCAUUACCGAGUGAGGGCCCUUUGGGUCCAACCUCCCACCCGUGUUUAUUUACCUUGUUGCUUCGGCGGGCCCGCCUUAACUGGCCGCCGGGGGGCUUACGCCCCCGGGCCCGCGCCCGCCGAAGACACCCUCGAACUCUGUCUGAAGAUUGUAGUCUGAGUGAAAAUAUAAAUUAUUUAAAACUUUCAACAACGGAUCUCUUGGUUCCGGCAUCGAUGAAGAACGCAGCGAAAUGCGAUACGUAAUGUGAAUUGCAAAUUCAGUGAAUCAUCGAGUCUUUGAACGCACAUUGCGCCCCCUGGUAUUCCGGGGGGCAUGCCUGUCCGAGCGUCAUUGCUGCCCUCAAGCCCGGCUUGUGUGUUGGGCCCCGUCCUCCGAUUCCGGGGGACGGGCCCGAAAGGCAGCGGCGGCACCGCGUCCGGUCCUCGAGCGUAUGGGGCUUUGUCACCCGCUCUGUAGGCCCGGCCGGCGCUUGCCGAUCAACCCAAAUUUUUAUCCAGGUUGACCUCGGAUCAGGUAGGGAUACCCGCUGAACUUAAGCAUAUCAUA
rnacentral:rRNA from 1 species